rnacentral:rRNA from 1 species
CAGUAGCCACGGGAAUACGGAGGGAGCUAGCGUUAUUCGGAAUUACUGGGCGUAAGGCGCACGUAGGCGGCUUUGUAAGUAAGAGGUGAAAGCCCGGGGCUCAACCCCGGAAUUGCCUUUUAGACUGCAUCGCUUGAAUCAUGGAGAGGUCAGAGGAAUUCCGAGUGUAGAGGUGAAAUUCGUAGAUAUUCGGAAGAACACCAGUGGCGAAGGCGGCUGACUGGACAUGUAUUGACGCUGAGGUGCGAAAGCGUGGGGAGCAAACAGGAUUAGAUACCCCUGUAGUCCCUGUCUCUUAUAC